rnacentral:rRNA from 1 species
UCCUACGGGAGGCAGCAGUGGGGAAUAUUGGACAAUGGGGGGAACCCUGAUCCAGCCAUGCCGCGUGUGUGAAGAAGGCCUUUUGGUUGUAAAGCACUUUAAGCGAGGAGGAGGCUACCGAGAUUAAUACUCUUGGAUAGUGGACGUUACUCGCAGAAUAAGCACCGGCUAACUCUGUGCCAGCAGCCGCGGUAAUACAGAGGGUGCAAGCGUUAAUCGGAUUUACUGGGCGUAAAGCGUGCGUAGGUGGCCAAUUAAGUCAAAUGUGAAAUCCCCGAGCUUAACUUGGGAAUUGCAUUCGAUACUGGUUGGCUAGAGUAUGGGAGAGGAUGGUAGAAUUCCAGGUGUAGCGGUGAAAUGCGUAGAGAUCUGGAGGAAUACCGAUGGCGAAGGCAGCCAUCUGGCCUAAUACUGACACUGAGGCACGAAAGCAUGGGGAGCAAACAGGAUUAGAUACCCUGGUAGUCC